GUCUAUGGCCACACCACCCUGAACACGUCCGAUCUCGUCUGGUCUCGGGAGCUAAGCAGGGUCAGGCCUGGUUAGUACUUGGACAGGAGAAAACCAAGUGCAGCUUUCA
rfam:Erinaceus europaeus unplaced genomic scaffold scaffold00019, whole genome shotgun sequence